rnacentral:rRNA from 1 species
AUGGAGGUACAUGGUGAUGACGCGAUUGACGGCCUCAGAUUGCCCAUCAGACUGCGGAUGGAAGGCCGAACUCAUGUGCAAGCGUGUCCCCGCGGCGGCAAACAGAGCCUUCCAAAAGCCCGAAGUGAAAACCACAUCCCUAUCCGAAACGAUGGAUGUGGGAAACCCAUGAAGUCAGACAAUGUUGGAGAAGAAGGCUUUAGCAACAGACUCCGCAGUGUACAGAUGCGCCAAGGGGAUGCAAUGCGCAUACUUGGAGAAACGGUCCACAACGGUCAGUAUCACACUUUUGUCGCCCACCUUCGGAAGUGCCUCAAUGAAAUCCAUGGAGAUGUCUUCCCAGACACGAGAGGGCACUGUCAAGGGCUGCAAUAA